GCAGGUGCCUUCCUCUGGGAGCUGCGAAUGGCCGAGGAGUGGGGGGAAGGCGAGGGUUGGACACCUGCAGAAUGUCGCGUUCAUGGUUGGCAACUCAUUUCAGGGAAACUUACAAAUAAACUGUGUGUUCCGAUUGCAGCCGUGUAUCUGGAGCCUUUGCGCGUUGACAGGGAAAUGGGUCCCAGUGAGUUAUUGAGGGCAUCUGCUUAGGAGAGCAAGUGCUUUUGAAUGUCACCUGCAGCUCAGUCCUUGGGAACUGCAGCCUUAGUCCCAAGUAAACUGCAAGGGAUAGGGAGAUUCAUCUUCUUUCCUUCCCUUCUUUUGGUCCUUUCUAGUUUACUGUUACCUUCUCCAUGUUUUCCCCAUGCCCCUUUGUUUACUAUUUCUCUUCAUUUCCCCCUUCCAUUUUUCCUUUCUUCCUCUACUGAUACUGUUUUCCACAUACUGAAAUUUAGCGUUAAUAGAAUUCAGGGUAACGUCAAAGGUUUAUUGCUAUUUUAGCACUGAUGACAGUAAUUUAAUCCUCCUGCCUUCUAACCAUCAUCAGUUCAGCAAGAGUUGUUUGUUGUGUGGUUGCUGCCCCAGGUUGACUCCUGCUGCUUUGGUACUAGGAGAGCGGAGGGCCCUUCGUUAUUGUUGCUGGCAUGAAAAGUUAAAGAAAUCCUCAAAAGGCAAUAGCCUCAGAUUCUGGAUAAAACUGUGUUGGACCAGCAGUUCAGUAGUGGCCAUGGGUGAGCUGAGGUUCAAAGGUUGAGACUUCUUUUGUCUGAAGUGGACAGGGAGUCUUCAGAACAGUGGUGGUGGUUCCUCUUUUCCUUGUUGAAUGAUGGCUUCAGCUACUCCUCCCCACCUCACACAAACAGGCUGAGAAGGAAACACACCUUGGCAGUAAUAAACUUGCUACCCAAUUUGCUCUAUUAUUGCUGCCAGGUCUCUCUUGCACUCCGAUGGGUUUGACUUUCUAACGGCAAGUACUGUCGAUUUUGCUAUGUCCAAAUCACAUUUUGUUUGGUUCCGCCAUAGGUGGUAACAAAGCAAUGGAAAAACCAGCUAACUAAAGAGAUGAGGUGGCCCCAAAAGUGCAAAUGGUAACUCAAAAUAUGUAUAAUCCAAUUCAAGAGUUUUAUAAUCCAAUUCAAGAGCAUUCUUCAAAGACUCUUUCACUUCUUCAUCCCAUAACAGAUGAAAGAGGUUGGUACCUGCUUUCCUGUUCCUGACUCAUUCCUUUCUCCCCUUUUUUGGUAUUAUGUCAUUUAGGAGCAGCUGGCAUGGUGUGCAAAUGACCUGUCACAUAUUAAUUUAAUUGAUUCUGUUCUAGGGACUCAAGACAACUUGCAGCAGUUCUCCCCACCCCAUAAAUUUGUAAUAGUUCUGUCCCAAACAGGCUUGUGAUCUAAGGAAAUCGAAUGGUUGGGGAAUGAAAGAGGUCAGAUAAAUAAAAAUCACAUAAACAUAAAAAAACCAAGAGCUGCAAAACCAACUAGUCCAAUACCGAUCCAAAGGACAAGUCCUUUUUGUAGGCAACCACCUGUUGGUGGCCUCCAUGUACCUCUGAUACAGUGUUAAGACCAGUGCUAAUAGCUGUAGGUGCUGUUACAGAAUUAAUAAUACUGUGGGUGGGCAGGUUGCCUGGAGGUGACAGUUUCAAUGACUAGAUCCGCAUUUCUCAGACUUGGGGCGCCACUGGUCCUGCCAGCUAGGGAUGAUGGGAGUUUUAGUCCAACAACAGUUGAAGACCCAAUUUGAGGAAACACUGGGCUAGGUGUUAGGAGACCCAAGACUCGUGUCUGAGUAGGGCUGGGAUGCCCAUCGAGUAAAAGAACCAUGUCCUUUGUGAACCAGUUUUAAUGGCGCUGAGUUCACAUGAUAUGUGGAUUUCAGCUAGGUCAAGGUCACUCUAGAAAUAAUAAAUGGGUUUGUGUUGUUCAGUCACUGUAUUGCAGAGAACAAUCUGAAUUAACUAGAGUGAGAGAAUAUCCCAGGUCCUUGUGUCUAGGAUUGCAGCCUAAGCUUUGUUUUGUUCAUUUGCUGGAUUCCAGGAAUGAAGGAUCAGCUGUGAAUGUAUUCACCCAUACUGGUACAGAACACAGGGUGAGGUUUUCUACUGAAAAUGGGUCUUUGUCACAGUUUGGGAUGCAAUGUCACCAAAGCUACAGCAACGUGUUCAGGGAGAGGUAAAUCGGUACAUUUCUUUGAUGACGAGUCACAGCAGGAACUUGAUCCACGGUGUGUGCAUGGUCUCCAUCCACCUGCACAACCUGCAGAACAGACCUCCACUUAGUUAAGUAGAAAAGCUGGUUCAGCAACCAGACCUUCAGAAGUCGGCUUUCAAGAGGCCUCUGACUCCUAAAAUGGGCUUAGGAGCGUUGAGAUAUUCGUCUCAGCCCUCCAAAAUGGAAGCCAUUUCCAUCCCUCCCAAGAGAAGUGAUUCUAUUAACACAAACAGCAAGGUCCACCUCGGAAUCCACCACCACGGCCUUCAAUGAUAAGACUUGCAGGUUCUUCCAUCACCAUCAAAUAUCAAAAGGAAGGUGUCAAAAUACCCUGGACACCCAAAUUGCCCAAGACUGGCUCCAAUAGGGGGAUUUUCCAGGGAGGCCCUCUUUUGAUCAUUUGCACUCAGAUCAUGACAACAGUUGAUCAAGAACAAAACAAGGUCCUGUGGAUUCCUUUUUCAUAAGACUGAUGCUGCAAGCAACCUGUUCAGGUUCCCCUACCCCAGUCUUUAUUU